ACUAUAAUAGUUUAAAAAAAACAAAGAUUUUGUAAAUCUAAAUUGAUUAUUCUUAUAGUA
rnacentral:tRNA from 1 species